AGUGUGAAUUGGUUUGUCCGAUUAAAGCUGAUCUGUUUAACCCUCCUACAGGCCCCUCUUCCCCGAUCGCAGGCCGCCGGCAAUGCUGUCCACACAGACGAAGCUCUCCUUCUGCUUCAUCGCUAUUCCUCUGUUGUUCCAGUUAUCUCAUUGCCGGCAGUGCUUUUCGUCGUCUCCGUCUUGUGCGAAUUCUUCUCGUGUCCUUUGUCUUCAUUUGGGAAGUAGAGGUUGGGGCAGGUGUUUUUUGAAUAUCGAGUGCAGUGUAGUCCCACAUCGAAAGUUUCAAUAUAACAUGGCCUCUCUUUAUAGUUCGGUCAUCGACGGGAGGCUGUCUCUUCGGAGACAUCCGAUAAAAUUGGAACGAUACAGAGAAGAUUAGCAUGGCCCCUGCGCAAGGAUGACACGCAUAAAUCGAGAAAUGGUCCAAAUUUUUUUCCCUAACCUGCAAUUGCCGAUUUCAACUCGCAAAAGCUCCUCCUACUUUUUUCCCCUUAUGUUUUUCCUCCAUUAUUGGCUUUUUACCCCCCUAACCCUACCUUUAACUCUAAUUCCCAGAAGUAUUUUUUUUCACUUUCUUCGAUGUUUUGUUGUUUCUAUUUAGAUUUCAUCAUCCUUCUUUGUGUUCAAAACCCUAACUUGUGUAUUUUUGUCUUCAUUGUUGUGCUUUCUGAUUCUUAUUCUUGGCUCCUUUUCUUGAGUUCGUUUUACAAUAGCAAUGUCUAAUUGGAAUAUGGAAGCAGUAGAUAGCGUGCUUAAGAAUUAUAUCUUUUUUUAAAAAAAAAAACCUGGAAUAUUAAAUAAUUUGAGAAGGAUUUUCUGUUGGCUUGCAUUGUUUCUGUUUGAGUUAGAAUUCCUUUUAGAUGCUUAUGAUGAGCGUAGGAAUGGGACAACUGUGAAAUGCACAACCUCUGCCUCAAUUAAGUAGAACACUAUUGAAGUAUCUUGAACAGAUCUGAAACAAAAUUAUCCAAUGACUGAUAAAUAACUAAAAACCGGCCAAACCAAGAAAAAAAAGAAACUGAAUAUCAUGUGAAACAUGAAGUAUAUUCAUAUUUUAUUUGCUUCCAAAUUUCUAAUAGAUUAUGUUGUUUCUUUCAAAUGAGCAGAAUUACUUAUCCUUAAGUUCUUGUUUUUCUUAUGAUAGAUCUUGUUAAAGCUAGUGAUCAUUUGUAGUUCAUUUGAAAUAGAAGCUGCAAACACAGGAGGAACCACUCGGAUUUGAAAACUCAUUGCAUCUCUUCCAAGAGUCUUGUUAAAAGGUGAAAUUGGGAAUGAAUAUUUGGUUUCAGGACUGUUGGGCUUGACCAUUAUGUGUAUAAGUCAUGCUAGGUGAAAUUGUUUCAUUUAGUUCAUGCCUUUUAUAUUCAGACACUACCAAGUAAUGAAAUAAGAAAAAAAGAAUUUUCCAUGUGAAUCUACUUAUUACCAUUUCAUCCAAUUUUAACAUUGAUCGCUCAUCUACUUCAAUUUUGUGCUCUUUUGAUAUUUGAAGAUUGUUUAAUCCCAUCAAAGGUUACUGGCCGCCACUAAUACUUGAUUCUUCCAUUGAGCUACAAUUAAUAAGUUGAUCUUCAUCAUUUUCCCAUUAUUUUUGAGGCUGUUAAUUAAGCAAGUAUUUCUCGCAACUGAAGUUAUAUUGGUUAAUUAGCAAUCUUGAAUCUGGAUUUGUGGAGUUUUUCCAUAUUUGUUUUUAUGAUCUAUAACCGUGAUGUCACUCUAGCAUAGAUUGAAUGUUAAUGAUGUUCAUGUGUGUCUGUCUAAAACUUAGAACAAACUAGAACUUAAGUAUCUGUUAGGCAGCCAAUAUAAAGCAUCAAGAUCAGUUUUGGUUUAUCGGAAUACUGAUUUGAAGAUUUCUUGUUUAGUCAAUGUGCAUGUUCAAUGUUGCGUCUACUAGUUUAUGAACAAACAUUUAUUCAACUAGGACCAUAGGGGUUCUGGAACAGGUUUGGAUUCAAGAAAUUAGUAUACCGUAUCAGGCCAAGCGUGAAGAUGACCUAAACUUGUAGGCAUAUUGUUGUUCUAGAAAGUAAAGGAAUGCUCUAUUUAACUGCUCUAAACUUUACCUUUCCGUGCACACAGUGGUUGUAUGUUAUUACUCUCUGACCAAUUUGUUAUCUCCAUAGUUUAAAAAAUUGGACAAGAAAGUUUAACUGAAAAGCUCCAGCUAGCUAGCUCAUUAAAAUUCUUUGAAAUAUCUGAUACCUCUAAAAAUGUAAAUUUUUUUUGUGAUAUUCUCUGGCUCGACCGAUUAAAUCAUCGAAUCAGCAGAUCCUUGAUCCAAUCUCCAAACUAAUGCUUUCUCUAUAGGAAUGUGAAUGAUUUGAUAUUGAAAGUUUGAAACUAGGAAUGGUUGAUUGAAUAUCAUCAAGGAUGAUGUUAUUGCUCCCUUUGUUUAGUAACUGCUUAAAAGCUCUACUAUUCAAGUUUCUACUAGAUGUAAUCCAUUAAUUGAUUGCUUCAUGCUACAUGAAUGCUAAUAUUAUCAACUAGCUUUUUGUGUGAAAUUCACCAAAUAGCACCUGGAGUGUGUCUGAUUAAUUGAAAACUUGCGUGUAGGAAUGAAGAAGGGUAGAUGGCAUUGCAUCCUGCUAUAACUAUGCAGUUAAAGAUAAUUAACAAACAUGCGAUCAGAAGUAAUUAGGAAGAUUACCUUUGUUUAGGGUCGAAUGCAUUAGUGCAUCUUACUAUAACUGUCAAAAUGUAAGGUGUUGAAGUUGGUUGGAUAAGGUUUAUGCCAUCAAGAUCACUUUAGAUAUCAAAAACAAAACAAAAGAGGGAUUCCUAGAUUUUUUUUUUACAAAUAUAUAUAUAUAGUUAGGUUUGUUGUGUUGAAACGUUGUGUACAGAGCACCUUUUAUGUUGAAGAUUGUUUAAUCUCAUCAAGUGUUACCACCUCUAGAUUAAUUUUGCCACCUGUAGAUUUAGAUUCCACGUGCAAAGUGAAUUCAGAGGGCACGGGCUUCUUUGCAGAACUUUUAUAACUUAAAACUAAUAUUGAAAAAAGAAAAGUUCAAUAGUUAUACACCUAUUGUUCCAUUCAAAACAUUCCAGUUCAUAUAUUUAUAUGUUUUUUGAUUCAAUAAAUUUAGAAAAAGGAAAGUGCUCUAUUUAUUUAACUCUAAACUUUACAAUGCAGACAAUUGGUCUGUGCUAUUACUAUCUCACUAAUGUGUUGAUGUCCUUCGUCCAUGAACCUCUAACCAUCUCAUGUAAUUCCUGGUAAAGGAGCCACCAGCCAUUUUCGAUACAUUAAUUUUGUUUCUAUGUAAUUUCUAAUUUUUUUUUUCUUUUGUUUUAUCGUUAGUUUAACAGUAGUUUUCAGUCUAUUUUGAUUAAUUACUAAGUAGAGGCCUCUUUUUCCAAAUAAUAACAUAUUUAAUUUAAAAUUAAUAGUAAUUAAUUUGGAGCAUUAAAUAUACUUUAUUAUAUCUGAGUUCAUACAUAAAUUUUGAUAUACUUUAUUUUCACACUUUAAUUCAUUUAUUAAAAUUCUUUGAAAUGUUUAAUAAUUCUAAAAGUGAAUUUUAUUUAUGAUAUUCUCUUCUUCUACCAAUCGAACUAUCAAAGAAGUUGAUUAGUUGAUUUAAUCUCAUUUGUUCCCUUUAGACAAUUCACACAUUCCAAUAUUGAAAAAAGUUCUUUUAGCCUAAAAUCCCCACCUUGAGUCAUUGUCAUUCAUUAAAAUCCUUUGUUGGUGGCGAUCACUCAUGCUCUCUAUAUAAGCUUGGAAGAUAUGGUUUCUUAGUUAAUUUAUUUCAGGUAUAUUGAUCAAGAAUCAGAUCCAUCACAUAUUUGCAAGAAGAAUCAACUAUGCCAAUGUUAAUUGACUUUUAUAUCAUUAGAAAAAUGGUAAUCAAGGACUUAAGCAGUUGCUACUGCUCAAGCAAAGAAAGCUGCAAAAGGUGGUGAGCAUAGCAGAGGUGCUCAGUGAUGCAGCAUCCAGAGUGGAAAUUGAGGUGAAAAGUAAGAGAUUUAGCAGAUCAUACUUGGUUCUUCUCAUUUAUGAAGGCUACCGGUUUGGAGAGAGAAUACUCGUGUUGUCAUUUAAAUCCCAUCAAGUAGCAGGGACGUUAAUGGUGGUUUAUAUGUGAAAAGCCCAUGUUUUGGUCUCCUGUCAUAUGUUGCAUCAUGGGAACCAAGAUAUCCAUUUUUUUCUCCGCAUAAUAAAUUGGAUGACCUCACUAGUUCUUACCUUGACGAUUUACUCGAACUGUUUCAUCUUUUCUUAUUAAUUUAGAGUGAUCUUUGUAUAGUCUUUGCUGGCUAUUUCUCUGUUGAAUAGGUGAAGAUGCUGACAUUGGCAAAGAGUGACGAGAGUAGGGAUGGCAAUAGGGCAAGGUUGUCUUUUCAAUUCUCAUACAAAAUGCAGAAUGGAAGAAGUUGAACAGAAUCCACAGAGUUAGUCGUAUGCCUUCUUCUUCCUCGCAAGCCACUCAAAUGCAUAACUUAACUGAAGAAGUUAGUCAGUUGAAGGACAUUUUAUCUUAAAGAGAUCAAGAAAUAAGAGAAAUGUGUAGACAACAAGAUUGGAUUUUGCAAUAUCUUUAGUUGAGUUCUGCUCCGAGUCAAUUUUCUCCCGUUGACAAUGAUGAUGAUGGCGGUGGUGGUGCUUCUUCUUAAAUUACAUAAGAAAAGAUGAACGAUAAAACGAACGAAGCACCUUGAUGAAUGACGAUAUGUAUAUUUUACUUUCACUUGUUAGAUUUGUUGUAUAGUUAUUUAUUAUGAGUUUUUGAAGUUUGAUAUGUUUGAGUUGAACUUGUUUGGAUGUUGUAGUUGUGUAUGAAUUUGAAAUGUUUAGUUGACGA